UCAGAGUUGCUGCCGAGUAGCUCUGUUAUAGGAUAAGAAAUAUUAUAUCGUUAGGCCAUAGCAGAUAUAAUAAAUCUUAUCCUUUUUAU
rnacentral:ncRNA from 1 species